UACGUAGGUGACAAGCGUUAUCCGGAAUUACUGGGCGUAAAGCGCACGCAGGCGGCGCGGUAAGUCUGAUGUGAAAUCUCCCGGCUUAACUGGGAGGGGUCAUUGGAAACUGCCGAGCUUGAGGCGAUGAGAGGGGUGUAGAAUUCCCGGUGUAGUGGUGGAAUGCGUAGAGAUCGGGAGGAAGGCCGGUGGCGAAGGCGGCGCUCUGGAACGUUUCUGACACUGAGGCUCGAAAGCGUGGGGAGCAAACAGG
rnacentral:rRNA from 1 species